UUGACGNGAANAUGGUGCUUGCACCAAUUUGAAGAGCAGCGAACGGGUGAGUAACGCGUGGGGAAUCUGCCUUUGAGCGGGGGACAACAUUUGGAAACGAAUGCUAAUACCGCAUAACAACUUUAAACAUAAGUUUUAAGUUUGAAAGAUGCAAUUGCAUCACUCAAAGAUGAUCCCGCGUUGUAUUAGCUAGUUGGUGAGGUAAAGGCUCACCAAGGCGAUGAUACAUAGCCGACCUGAGAGGGUGAUCGGCCACAUUGGGACUGAGACACGGCCCAAACUCCUACGGGAGGCAGCAGUAGGGAAUCUUCGGCAAUGGACGAAAGUCUGACCGAGCAACGCCGCGUGAGUGAAGAAGGUUUUCGGAUCGUAAAACUCUGUUGGUAGAGAAGANCGUUGGUGAGAGUGGAAAGCUCAUCAAGUGACGGUAACUACCCAGAAAGGGACGGCUAACUACGUGCCAGCAGCCGCGGUAAUACGUAGGUCCCGAGCGUUGUCCGGAUUAAUUGGGCGUAAGCGAGCCCAGGUGGUUUAUAAAGUCUGGUGUAAAAGGCAGUGGCUCACCAUUGUAUGCAUUGGAAACUGGUAGACUUGAGUGCAC
rnacentral:rRNA from 2 species